rnacentral:misc_RNA from 1 species
UAAAUAAUGUCUUUAGGUUGGAGCAGCUAACCAAUAAAGAAAAAACAUGUUUUGACAGUGUUUUUGCAGGAAAGCCUUUGAAUGCGAUGGGCUUCAUUCAUUUGCAAAUGAAGACCACUAACUGAAGAUUCUUAUUCUUAUAGAUGUGGUUAAUUUCAAGACAAAACCUGGCAUAGCACCAGAAAUAGCUUCUUCAUAUCAAUGAGACUUCCUAAUUAACAUUUCAAGCUGGAGGGAACUCCAUAAGAACUUCGGUAUCAAUUUCCUUUUUGUGCAGUUGUUCAUCUACAUCUUCCUGAAGAUAUGGACUAAACACCUUCAUAACUUGUUCAUAUACAGGCUUCUUG